rnacentral:lncRNA from 12 species
CCUUACUCUGGGUGAGGGACCUCCCAUACACUGCAUAUCCCCUAUAUCUAUAUGUCCUGUGCCCCCACAGUUACCAUUAUUACCCCAUUUUACAAAUAAGUCACUGAUAGAGCAACACACUGAAGUUUACACAGUCUGUGGGUGGUGAACAAAGGAUUGAAACCCAGGCAGAUUAAAAUGAGGUGGUGCAAACAGUAAGGGUUCGGUAGAUGGACAGACUGAUGGCAGUGAUUGGGGGGCUGCCCAAGGUAUCCAUACACCUGUGAACAAGGCUGAGUGUCUUCUCUUCGAGGGCGUGGCCACUAGUAGGGAAGAGAAACAUUGAGACCUAAAUGAGGUAAUAAAGAAAUAAUCAAGUGCUGUUGGGGCACAAAAGAGAGUAAUUUGGGCUAGUGAGGGGGAUUGAAGCUGCUUUCCCAGGAUCUGGCCUUUCCGAGGAGCCUUGGGGAAGUUUGACAGGUGCACAAGAAGGGCAUCUCAGGCCGAGAGAGUGCAUGGAGGGGAGAGAGCUUGACGUGGGUACCCAACGAUGACUGCUCCAGUGGAGUGUGGCUUUCAGGAAACCAAGUGGUUGGGGGCUAACUUGGAAGGUUGUGCAAGACAGGAGUGUGAGGACCCCUGAAUGUCAUGCUAAGGAGUUUGGAUUCUAUCCCACAGUUUGUAGACAGGUAUCUGCAGGACAGCCAGUGGAAAGAACAGGAUUUGGAGGUAAGGAGCCAGCUUGAGAGCCAGCUCUGGGCAUGAGGGUGAUCUGAAACUACCAGGUCCUCAAGUUUCCUCUAAAAUGGAUUAGGGGGAGAACUUAUAACUGGAAUCUAUUUUCAAAUUUGGGACAAGAUAUUUGAGGAUAGUUUUUAAAGUUUGUUUUUUUUUUUUUAAUGUUUUGAGUCAGGAAAAUCUCUACUCUAAGAAAAUAUGUCCUUUCUAAGCUUUAGUUCUUCUUACAAAGUUAGCAUAAAC